rnacentral:lncRNA from 1 species
AACGGACCAAGACAAAAAAAUAACAAAAAAAAAUACGCGGGUCAGGCAAUGGGUUAAAACAGGAGGCGGGUCUAAAAAAGGGGGGAACAAACUCUGAGAUGCUAAUGAAGAAAUUUUUAUCAACGCUACUGCCGAUUCCCUCUCUCUCUCCCCAAAUCUUGCCGAUUCUCUCUCCCCGAUUCUGAGUAGUUUGAGUGCCAAAACGCUGGAAGGCCGGAUCCAUCAACGCUACUGCCCCUUUACACUUUUGCCCCCUUUCUUCUCGUGCGCAGACCCUAAUCACAUCCAAUACGCAGGUAAUUAACAAUUUUUAGUUUUUAUACUGAUUUUCAUAUGAGAUGCUAAUGAAGAAAUUUUUAUCAAUGUUUUAUCGAUUCAAAUUGGGGAUGUGUUGUUGAUGAGAAUUUUUUUAAUCAAUUUGAUGAGUUUCACGUAUAUGCUAAUUAACUCAGUUCCUCUCACAUAGAUGACACGGUUGGUUGAAAUAUAAUUUUGUAUUUUUGUAUAGUUAAUUACAUAGUAAUAUCUUCUCUUCUGUAUUAUAUAUCUUUUCUGGGGUUUGUUGAAAUUGAGCAAGUUCACAAAAAAUGUUUUUUUUUCAAAAAUUUAAAAAAGGAAAGCAUUCUUAAAUAAUUUUGGCAUUGAUUGAAUAAAAAAUGAUUAAAAUUAUAUAAUCAUGAUUAAAACUAACAUUUUGUUUUUCAUUUCAGGAAUAUCACUAUAACUUUUACAUGGAAUAUCAUUGUCAUUAUCACCAUGUUGGUCUUGUUUUACAGUGGUUGAAUGUAGAUAAUUUGUUGGUAUUUGGAUGUAAUUCCAUGUAAAUGUUGUUGUUGCUGAAUGUUGCUGUUGCUGAAUGUUGUUGUUCAUUGCUGUUGCUGGGUGGGCUACUGCUGCAGUUGUUGCUAUUUGAUAAUUAUAUUAUAAUCAUGCUUAUACUGUCAUGCUUAUGUCUUUUUAAUUUGGUCUUGGGAGUUGACUGUUUGGACUUAUGUCUGUACAAAUAUAGCAGUUUGUUCUAUAGUCAGUUGGAAAGGCAAAGUGAAUGUUUUUCUCUUUUUACUGAAUUGGUUGUUAAUUCACACUUCAGCCCUUCACUGAGAAAAAAAUAUUGAUUUGUUCCUUUUACUAUUCUUUCCAGAAUCGUCCAUCUCUUAAUACUAGCUAUUAUUUGUUUGGUACAUUCUGUUUUCAGUCCUAUUUGCAAAUUGUAAGUAUAUCACUAAUUGUUGUUGCGGAAGAGAAUUAGUGUUUGUUGAGAUCUGUCAAGAGGGGGAGAGAAUCUAGUUUAGUCCUAGAUUGCAAAUUGUAAGUAUAGAGUCCUGCUGCUGUUUCAGUCCUAUUUGCAAAUUGUAAGUAUAAAGUCCUGCUGCUGUUUCAGUCCUAUUUGCAAAUUGUAAGUAUAGAGUUAAAAACACUGAAUGGAAGAAAUACCGGUAUACAUAUAAUAUUAUCUAAUAACAUUA